UCAAGUUUCUUGGUCGUUUCUCUGCAACACUGCCAAGGUCACCUAAAGCUACCCAGAUCUCAGCAGGGGUCUGGUCACUCUCCCGCAGUGCGCACAGGCGGCUACAGUGCAGGCUCCCACUCCGACCUAAACCGGAAGUGAUCAGAUGUGACCAUCCAACUCAGCCGGUCACAGUCUGUAAGUGUGUGUCAUCACACAGAAGCAAAUGGGCUGAUUUCUAGAGAAUCUCAAUAAUCCACCCCCCACCCCCUCAACGGAUCAUCAAGGAGCGUGGACGACGAGGGACCAUUUGAGAGAAACAGGAACCUCUGGGGAUGCAAAAGUGAGCUGAGACUCCUCCCAGCACGAGCCUCCAAAGAGGCAGGUCCUUGAGACCGAAGUUGAUGGGAUAAAAAUGACACCAAAGCCUGGGCCGGAUUCCUGUGGUGUCCGUGUCUGCGCUCGUCUGUCUUUGGUGAUAUUCUGUUGGAUCGGCUCGAAGAUACAAGAACAGGCUGAGAAAUCCCCACAGAAAAACACUCUAUAUUGCAAAAAUAAGACUAGGAUGGGCUCAGAAGAUGGCACAGGUACCAACACUGCUCUGAAAAAUUCAAAGCGAACUUCUUGUUCUUAUUAAUUGGCAGAAAAAAAUUGAAACAAUUGUCUGCUUCAACUCACCCGAGCAUGGAAAACUGAAGACCCCUUUCUUGCAAACCGUCUUGCCAGGCUGAGCGGCGGCUCCAUGUCUUUCCAGUGUCCUUGGGAGCCACCUGCUGGGCAAAGACGGAAUUACAGCACUAAUAACCAGACUGAGAGCCGCCAGACCCAAGUGGCCCUGAUUUUCCAGAAUCGCAGAGGAGGAACUAUAAAAGCAGCAGAAUGGCUUCUCCCCUUGGCGCAUUGCCCGGUGACAGUUGUAAACCAGGGGCGCUGCAGAGGCGCUCACAGGGAAUGAAGCAGAAUUGCCUCGUAUCUGCCCGGCUUUGCGCACGGUUCUUAGGAUCCCGGGCCUGAGUCCCCUCCAGAUCCCCAAUUUCUUUACCUUGUCCUACUUCAUCAUUGGGGCACCUGGUGGGUCCAGCGCUGAUGAUCUCAUUCUUACUCCAUAUGCCAGGUUGGAGCAUGUCCUAGGGGAUCCCAGGUCAGCCCUGAGACUCCUGUGUCCUUGGGAAAGUCAGCUGUCUUCUGGGUCUUGCUAUCUUCACCUCCAACCUCAGCUCAGGGCUCGGGUGGAUAAUAUCCAGAGAUCUUCAGGUUUUGUCUAUAGAGUGUCUGCAAAGUUACUGUGCUUUGGGCCUCAGGGUUAAAGUUUAAGUGCAUAAAAGGAAUGACAAAGCCUGAUUCUGCGUCAGAUCUGCAGAGGAGAGACAGCAGGGACACUACUGAGAUGUGCAGAGGACAGGGUGUGCUGCCCCUGGCCUUGGAUCCCACUAGCAGCGUGGUAAUCCCCCUGACUCCGAGGUCAGCAUGCUGCCUCUUCACCAGGUAACCUCUACCAGCAUCCCGUUGCCUGCUGGAAGCUGGCCUCCUGUAGCUCUCAGCUCUCCCUUACACCCUAGUCUGUGGAGUGACCACUUGGGUCUGCCUGAAGUGUGCAGCUCCUCUGGAGAAGCCACCCCACCCCGUGUCCUUGGCAGGGAGAUACAGCCGCAGUGCUGUCCUGUCCUGGGAUGAACACCAGGGUUCCUGGUGUCAGUUCUUGGGACAGCCACAAGCCUGAGUAGUCCCUAAAACUGAUGACAUCAGCAAAGGAAAGAGCAGGGUCUGCUGGCCCUGCUACCCCGGCUACCCCAGUACCUUCUCCCCACAGGGUGAUGCAGGCCUCAAGGGCAGUCUGUGAGGUGGAAGGCAGACAGCCGCAGAGCAGUGACUCUUCCGGCAUUAAGUUCAGGGUCCAGGACAUCGACAGGCCCCCGUCUCUAAAGUAUCUCACAACUGUGAGCAAUCCCACAAGAGCCAGCUGUCCUGUGUGCAGCCUGCUAUGACUUCCCACAUUGGCUGGGAGACCAAACUUUCACCAGGAAUGGGCUCCCGGGUGACAAUUUCAAGCUAUUUGUCUGAUUAAAGACUUUCUCCACCGCCUUCUACUCUGGGUAGAAGAUUCUGCCUGGACCUCUGAGGUUUCCCUCUCUGUUUCCAGGCCCUCAGUUCCUGCCUCUUAAGCCCAUUCCAUCACCCAAGAGGGCCGGCAGCUACCAGACCCCACCCACAUUCGCUGGGCUGCUUUCUCUCUACAGGAGAAGCCAGACUUCAUGUCCAAGUUCAACCCUCUGCAAACAGACUACACGCCACAGGGCGCAGAACCCUUUCCCACCACUUCCAAAGUAUUUCUCGCCACAGACUGUCUCAGAAAUGCCAAAGGAGAACAUCCAAGGAUAGGAUCACAGGAGGUCCCUUCACCUCACCUAUAACAUGUCUGAAUUGGAAACCCAUCCUUACCCCCCAAAAAGAAAGCCGUCUUGUCUUCCAAGCGGGCGUCUCAGAACAGAAGAUCCAAAGCCGAUGGCCGGACACAGCUUCCCUGGUCUGGUCCCAAGCCCUCCUAACCCUUCUGAGGGUCUGUCUCGUUCUCGACUGGAGUUCCCUCAAAGCACACCAUGCAUUUGGGUGUGCAGUCCCAAAGCAGCUGUGGAAACGGUCGGGCCUAGGAUGCGCAAAGCCAGCGGAGUUAACAGUCACCAGGCGCAGAACUGCUCAUUUAUCAUCCUCCCGUCGCUGGGGAGGAUUGCCUCCUGCCCCAGCCCUCUACUCUAGUGAAGUAUUGUCUUCCAGAAAAGGUGGUCUAAAUAAAGCCAGGGACUCA